CAGCGGGAGUUAGUCCCGCCAGGGAAGGAGUCAGGAGCCCUGUAGCUUGGGCCGCACGGGUGGAGGAAACGAAGCACGUGAAGCCGGCCGACAAAGCCGCCUUUGGGGCGGUGAGCGAGUCAUCGGGCCGCAACGCAA
rfam:Metagenome sequence AGZO1180.g1, whole genome shotgun sequence.